GAUGAACGCUAGCUACAGGCUUAACACAUGCAAGUCGAGGGGAAACGGCAUCGAAAGCUUGCUUUUGAUGGGCGUCGACCGGCGCACGGGUGAGUAACGCGUAUCCAACCUGCCCAUCACUUGGGAAUAACCUUGCGAAAGUAAGACUAAUGCCCAAUGACAUCCCACGAAGGCAUCCGAAUGGGAUUAAAGAUUUAUCGGUGAUGGAUGGGGAUGCGUCUGAUUAGCUUGUUGGCGGUGUGACGGCCCACCAAGGCAACGAUCAGUAGGGGUUCUGAGAGGAAGGGCCCCCACAUUGGAACUGGGACACGGUCCAAACACCUACGGGAGGCAGCAGUGAGGAAUAUUGGUCAAUGGGCGAGAGCCUGAACCAGCCAAGUAGCGUGCAGGAUGACGGCCCUAGGGGUUGUAAACUGCUUUUAUAAGGGAAUAAAGUGGGUCACGUGUGACUUUUUGCAUGUACCUUAUGAAUAAGGACCGGCUAAUUCCGUG
rnacentral:rRNA from 1 species